UACGAAGGGGGCUAGCGUUGCUCGGAAUCACUGGGCGUAAAGCGCACGUAGGCGGGUUGUUAAGUCGGGGGUGAAAUCCCGGGGCUCAACCUCGGAACUGCCUUUGAUACUGCAAAUCUCGAGUCCGGAAGAGGUGAGUGGAAUUCCUAGUGUAGAGGUGAAAUUCGUAGAUAUUAGGAAGAACACCAGUGGCGAAGGCGGCUCACUGGCCCGGUACUGACGCUGAGGUGCGAAAGCGUGGGGAGCAAACAGG
rnacentral:rRNA from 1 species